rnacentral:tRNA from 1 species
GGGCAGAUAGCUCAGUCGGUAGAGCAGAGGACUGAAAAUCCUCGUGUCGGCGGUUCGAUUCCGCCUCUGCCCA